rnacentral:rRNA from 1 species
GGGAUAAGGGGUGCCACCAUCAGGUGGCCGCAGAGAAUAGGCCCAAGCGACUGUUUACCAAAAACAUAGGUUUCUGCUAAGUCGCAAGACGAUGUAUAGGAGCUGACGCCUGCCCGGUGCUGGAAGGUUAAGGGGAUCUGUUAGAGAAUCGAAGCAGUGAACUUAAGCCCCAGUAAACGGCGGCCGUAACUAUAACGGUCCUAAGGUAGCGAAAUUCCUUGUCGGGUAAGUUCCGACCCGCACGAAAGGCGUAACGAUUUGGGCACUGUCUCAACAACAGACUCGGUGAAAUUGUAAUUCCGGUGAAGAUGCCGGAUACCUGCGACAGGACGGAAAGACCCCAUGGAGCUUUACUGUAGCUUGACAUUGGGUCUUGGUACUACAUGUACAGGAUAGGUGGGAGGCUUUGAAACCAGGACGCCAGUUUUGGCGGAGCCAUCCUUGGGAUACCACCCUUGUAGUACUGGGACUCUAACCAUAGGCCAUGAAUCUGGUCUUGGGACACUGUCAGGUGGGCAGUUUGACUGGGGCGGUCGCCUCCCAAAAGGUAACGGAGGCGCUCAAAGGUUCUCUCAGUACGGUCGGAAAUCGUACGUAGAGUGUAAAGGCAAAAGAGAGCUUGAUUGCAAGACAUACAGGUCGAGCAAGGAUGAAAAUCGGACUUAGUGAUCCGGUGGUUCUGCGUGGAAGGGCCAUCGCUCAACGGAUAAAAGCUACCCUGGGGAUAACAGGCUUAUCUCCCCCAAGAGUCCACAUCGACGGGGAGGUUUGGCACCUCGAUGUCGGCUCAUCACAUCCUGGGGCUGUAGUAGGUCCCAAGGGUUGGGCUGUUCGCCCAUUAAAGUGGUACGCGAGCUGGGUUCAGAACGUCGUGAGACAGUUCGGUCCCUAUCCGUCGCAGGCGUAGGAAAUUUGAGAAGACCUGUCCUUAGUACGAGAGGACCGGGAUGGACGUACCUCUGGUGUACCAGUUGUCCUGCCAAGGGCAUGGCUGGGUAGCUAUGUACGGAAUGGAUAAGCGCUGAAAGCAUCUAAGCGCGAAGCCAACUUCAAGAUAAGAUUUCCCACCGUAAGGGUAAGACCCCAGAAAGACUAUCUGGUUGAUAGGUCGAAGGUGUAAGUGCAGCAAUGUAUUUAGCUUAUCGAUACUAAUAGGUCGAGGACUUGACCA